rfam:Stegodyphus mimosarum contig27801, whole genome shotgun sequence.
GCCUUCGUGGUGUAAUGGUCAGCACACUGAGCCGGUAUUUCAGAGGUCCGUGGUUCUAUUCCCGGCGAAGGAA